rnacentral:rRNA from 1 species
CCAACGCGUUGGGAGCUCUCCCAUAUGGUCGACCUGCAGGCGGCCGCGAAUUCACUAGUGAUUAGAGUUUGAUCAUGGCUCAGAGUGAACGCUGGCGGCGUGGAUCAGGCAUGCAAGUCGUGCGAUCUCGCAAGAGAUAGCGGCAGACGGGUGAGGAACACGUGAGUAAUCUGCCCUUUAGCAAGACAUAGCUUCGUGAAAACGGAGGUAAUAUCUUAUAAUAUCCUUGACAUGCAUGUGUUAAGGAUUAAAGACCGGGACCGCAAGGCCGGUCGCUUAAGGAUGAGCUCGCGUCCUAUCAGCUAGUUGGUGAGGUAACGGCCCACCAAGGCUUUUGACGGGUAGCUGGUCUGAGAGGAUGGUCAGCCACACUGGGACUGAGACACUGCCCAGACUCCUACGGGAGGCUGCAGUCGAGAAUCUUUAGCAAUGGGCGAAAGCCUGACUAUGCGACGCCGCGUGAGGGAUGAAGGUCUUCGGAUCGUAAACCUCUUUUGACAGGGAAGAAACCUCCAUGGUGAAUAACUGUGGAAUGACGGUACCUGUCGAA